CGCGUGGGAACGUGCCCUCUUCUUCGGAAUAGCCUCGGGAGACUGGGAGUAAUACCGGAUACGCCCUUUGGGGGAAAGAUUUAUCGGAGGAGGAUCGGCCCGCGUUGGAUUAGGUAGUUGGUGGGGUAAUGGCCUACCAAGCCGACGAUCCAUAGCUGGUUUGAGAGGAUGAUCAGCCACACUGGGACUGAGACACGGCCCAGACUCCUACGGGAGGCAGCAGUGGGGAAUCUUAGACAAUGGGCGCAAGCCUGAUCUAGCCAUGCCGCGUGAGCGAUGAAGGCCUUAGGGUUGUAAAGCUCUUUCAGGGGGGAAGAUAAUGACUGUACCCCCAGAAGAAGCCCCGGCUAACUCCGUG
rnacentral:rRNA from 1 species